AUGAUAGUUCUUCGCGAACCUCCGUCAUCACCGGGACGGGUUGGUCGUAAGUAGGUCUGUGGCGUAGGUAUUUCGCCUUGAGACGUUGCAUGGCCCUGUAGUGGAGGGGACCCGGAAAUAUGGCUUGAAUGGAGGCAGAGAGGAGUCCUACAAUCCUGGCCAGGUUGCGUAGUGGAAUGGAAUCGAGAUGGAGAACCCUGCGAAUCUCCUUGCGAAUGGCUGUGAUCUUUGAGGCUGGUAGUCUCAGAG
rnacentral:lncRNA from 1 species